GUUGGACUGCGCUUGCCUGGUGCACUUACUAUAUCCUUGUUACGUUGUGUGAUUCAGUGACUGUUGUACGUACUGGUUAAAGUUGGACAAGUGUUAAAGUGAAUUGUUAAGAUAACAUGUUGUUGAUUAAAUCAGGAAUCAAAAAGUGACAUCGUUUUACUUGGUGUUCAACAAGAUAAUGUCUACCCUCAAGCUUACAUCAGAAGUGGGAUCAGGACCCUACUCUCACUGGCGUGACGUGUUUGAACAUGUUCGAAGUACAGCAAAAAAAACAUGAUGCAGAUCAGAAUACUAGUAGUGGUACGCCACAAGAGCGUGAAUGCAGCAUACGUAAGUCGUGUAAUAACGUCUCUGUUACCUCGAUGGAAGAUCUGAGCCACGAAGAAAUCGUCACAUCUUACGUUCUGGCUCAUGUUGCCCAGUUUGACUGUCGACUUCAUCACAUGGCAUUUACUAACGGAAAUACAACACGUAACAAGCUAUUGCAAGAAAUUAAGGCAAGUGCAAAUCUCAAGUGAAACUUCGAUCGCAAUAAUGGAUCUGUCAUGACGAGUGGGUAGUUCCGACACGAAUCGUUUUUAAGCCAAUGACUACUGCUAGAGUUACAUGGCACUAGUACAGUAAACCAGGACAUGAGACUGUGAAUUGUCGCUGAAAUUUUAGAAUCUACUCGAUUCAAUACCAAUAACACUACACGUUCGAUGACUUCGGGCUCCAGCAAGCAAGCAAACAAGAAAGCAAGCAAGUUUCCGUGGGGAAGAAAAAUUGACACAUCUGAAGUCGUCGUGACCUGUAAGAUAAGACGUCCGGUGCGUUCGUGUCUGGCGAUGCGGCGAUGUUCGGGUUCCGGCUGGCGGAUGCAGGUUUUUCCGGUGAAGUGCGUGCUUGUGCGUGCUUGACAAGUGUUCGCGGUUGGCUUCCUCAGUGUGGGAGUAACAUCGUGUAAGAGAGGUGGAACCCGUAAAAUUGUAGUUUGCGUGGUGGCUGGUAAGAUUUGUUGCGGUAAGAAGUUUGCAUGGUGGUAAAAUGUCUUGUGAGUCUGCACAGGUAGCCGGAGGUGAGACUUCCGCGGUCGCGGCCCACCCAGUCCGCGAGAACCGGGCAGAUCGCCUCGACGGUACGGAGGCCGGCUGACGAGUCCGCCAAACGACGAGACCACGCCUCCAGCACGGACUGCCGAUAUUGGAGCCCCCGCGCUCCGGCUGCACUUGCGCUAGGGCGCGCCGCCUCGUAGGAGACUGUGAGGUGCUGUGGCAGGUCCAACCAGAGACGUCAACGUGUGUUCCAGAGCUUCAGUGUGUUACAGAUAAGUGGUUUUGGCUUCCCCUUUAUGUUCCAUUCAGGGUCAGAAUGUAGUCUUAUAAAACAAAGUCAUAGUAAUUUAUUCAAUGGUAAGCGGUUUCAUGAACAAGUCACUCUUUGAUCUGAAAGUAACCUAGACCAAUCAUGAUGGCAAGAGCACUUAGGGGAUAUUCAACUCGUCCUUAAUAGUGCACGUUGUCGAGUAACAGGGUUUACUCCAAUAGAAUAGACGUUUGCCGUUCAGGGUAGUUCACUUGAAAUAUCUUAAAGUUUCAACAGAGUGAUAAUCCCUCUAGAUUAGAUCUUGAUUUAGCACGGUCGAAGACCGGCGAAAACAUAAAAAAAGGGCACAAACAGAAGCUUGGUUUAGUCGAGGCAAAGCUAAAGUCAAACUCUUUUCCGCUGGGGAUUUUGUUUUCGUAAGUUGACCGAAAAUGUAAAGGUCCCUUCAACAUUACUGCAGUUUUGGAAAACGAUAGGUAUAAAUUGAGACAUGUAAAUAGUUCUAAUAGAGUGUACAAAUUUCCCCAUGAAAACUUACGUGAAAUACCUCGAGGCUCGUCAGGCCUACUAGAAAUUUCUAAAAAUUAUAGUGACGAUGACGUGACGGCGUACACAGAUGGGUUAAUUAAUCUUGUUCAUGAAACUGAUCUUAAUGAUGACGACUCUAUCACUGACAAUAGAAGCGACAUUUUUGUCCGCAAAUAGCGAUACAGCAAACAUAGUCUGUGGGUAGUGAUACAAUGUCUGUAAGCUCAGGCACCUCAGGUGCAGGUGUUGGAAAUGUAGAAAACGAUGGUCGGUCUCGCACUAUUUCUGAAGAAAUUCCGUAUAAAUGUUCUGGUUUAAGAGAUGUUUUAACAAACGCUACCGUACACGCAGAUUAAAAAAAAAAAAAAAGAGAAUUGUAUGUGGCUAGAGAGAUGUUAAUCCGGACUAGCAAAAAAAAAAAAAAAAAAGAGAAAAAAAAAAGAAA